AAUGAACGCUGGCGGCGUGCUUAACACAUGCAAGUCGAACGGUAAGGCCCUUCGGGGUACACGAGUGGCGAACGGGUGAGUAACACGUGGGUGAUCUGCCCUGCACUUCGGGAUAAGCCUGGGAAACUGGGUCUAAUACCGGAUAGGACCACUGCCUGCAUGGGUGGUGGUGGAAAGCUUUUGCGGUGUGGGAUGGGCCCGCGGCCUAUCAGCUUGUUGGUGGGGUGAUGGCCUACCAAGGCGACGACGGGUAGCCGGCCUGAGAGGGUGACCGGCCACCGUGGGCUGGGGAUACGGCCCAGACUCCUACGGGAGGCAGCAGUGGGGAAUAUUGCACAAUGGGCGCAAGCCUGAUGCAGCGACGCCGCGUGAGGGAUGACGGCCUUCGGGUUGUAAACCUCUUUCAGCACCGACGAAGCGCAAGUGACGGUAGGUGCAGAAGAAGGACCGGCCAACUACGUGCCAGCAGCCGCCGUAA
rnacentral:rRNA from 1 species